CAGUUCAACAUAUUAUUUCAUUGUAAAAUCGUGUUUAACAGAUCAUAUAUGAUUAAUGUGAAUGAAGAACACUAGGUUGAGUUGAAUUGAAUUGAAUCAUGGAUAAGAGCAUGUUAGCUGGUUUGGAAUCACUUCCAGAAGCUUAUCAGCAAAGAAUGGCGUCCAUGAUGGAACAAGUUCAAAUUCGUGACAGUUUUGGCUUGCAUGGCCUUCCUGCAGCUCGAGAGGUCCAACCAAUCAAAGGUAGUGAAAGGACCCACUAGAAGGCUUUUACCAUUUGUGGCGCAUGCAGGUUUGAAGGGAGCAUAUACAAAAGGAGCACUUUAUUAUUAUGCUGAAAGAAGAAGAAGAAGAAGAGGAAGAGUUCCACCUCCACGUCCUAGUAGUGCUGUUAAUAAUGAAAUUAAUCCAAAGUUGCAAAAACUCCUUCUUCUACUUUAUUAUGUGUGUUAUUUACUAUAGCUAGUAAUAAUAAAGAUGUAUCAUUGCUUGUUAGUUUUCACUUUAUAAUG